CUUGGCUUCACCGAGCUCUGCCGGUGGGUCACUGUGAACUCUCAUCUCCGUCGGAAAGGACAGUAGCUUCAGGAACCGAUCACUCCUUCGCUUGUGGGGUGUAAGACAAGUUAUGGAAGAUUUCUAAGGCAGCAACAUGUAUUUCGAAAGAGCAGGGAGUUGCAGCUGCUUGGGCACGUAGAGCAACCAUUGAUGCUACCGUUUUGGUUCGUCAAGGUAGCAAUUUAAUCCCUUUUUGGCUUCUCUAUUGUAUAUUGGUGCAUGUCGGAUGGGUUUAAUGUAUUAGAAGUUCUGCUUGUUGAUUUUGUUGAAA